rnacentral:rRNA from 1 species
UGGCGGCGACCGGCGGAAGGGUGCGUAACACGUGAGCAACUUGCCCGUAUCAGGGGGAUAACCGAUGGAAACGUCGCCUAAUACCCCAUAACAACAUCAGCUGCAUGGCAGAUGUUUGAAAGCUACGGUGGAUACGGAUAGGCUCGCGGGACAUUAGCUAGUUGGAGUGGUAACGGCACACCAAGGCGACGAUGUCUAGGGGUUCUGAGAGGAAGGUCCCCCACAUUGGAACUGAGACACGGUCCAAACUCCUACGGGAGGCAGCAGUGAGGAAUAUUGGUCAAUGGGCGGAAGCCUGAACCAGCCAUGCCGCGUGAAGGAAUAAGGCCCUAUGGGUCGUAAACUUCUUUUGUAUCGGAGCAAUAAGGGUCACGAGUGAUCCGAUGAGAUUACGAUACGAAUAAGCAUCGGCUAACU